GGGUGGGUAGCUCAGUGGUUAGAGCUUAGGUUAUGUAACCGGAAGGUCCCGGCAUCGAAUCCCGCUAAAGGCA
rnacentral:tRNA from 1 species